rnacentral:rRNA from 1 species
GACGAACGCUGGCGGCGUGCUUAACACAUGCAAGUCGAACGGCAACGCCCUGCUUUCGUGGGGUGCUCGAGUGGCGAACGGGGGAGUAACACGUGAGCAUCCUGCUCUGGACUUUGGGAUAACUUCAGGAAACUGGGGCUAAUACAGGAUAGGAGCCGCUGCUGGAUGGUGGGGGUUGGAUAGUUUCGGCGGGGGGGGAUGGAUUCGCGGCUUAUGAGCUUGUUGGUGGGGUAGUGGCUGACCAAGGCUUUGGCGGGUAGCCGGCCUGAGAGGGUGACCGGCCACCUUGGGACUGAGGUACGGCCCAGACUCCUACGGGGGGCAACGGGGGGAAAUCUUGCCCAGUGGGCUCAAGCCGGAUGCAGAAGCCCCGCGUGCGGAAAGCCGGCCUUCUGGUUAUAAACCGCAUUCGCCUGAGACCAAGCGUUUCUGACGGUAAUCGGUAAAGAAGCACCGGCUAACUUCGUG